rnacentral:rRNA from 1 species
AUUGAACGCUGGCGGCAGGCCUAACACAUGCAAGUCGAGCGGAGAGGCGGACGGGUGAGUGAUGCCUAGGAAUCUGAAUGGGAGUGGGGGAUGACGUCCGGAAACGGGAACUAAUGUCGCAUACUAUCAGCGGAGGCUAGGGCGGAGUAGCUGGUUGGUGGGGUAACGGCCUACCAAGGCGACGAUCCCUAACUGGUCUGAGAGGAUGAUCAGUCACACUGUAACUGAGACACGGUCCAGACUCCUACGUGAGGCAGCAGUUGGGAAUAUUUGACAAUGGGCGAAAGCCUGAUCCAGCCAUGCCGCGUGUGUGAAGAAGGUCUUCGGAUUGUAAAGCACUUUAAGUUGGGAGGCGUUACCAACAGAAUAAGCACCGGCUAACUUCGUGCCAGCAGCCGCGGUAAUAC